CAUAUUCAAUUGCUCAGUCAAAAUUGUUCGGGUGGAUUUUAAAUGAGAAAUUCAUAACUAUUUUUGAGACCCACGAUUCUGCAGCUUGAUUCCAAGAAUCAAGUCAUAGUUUUUCAAAAUUUUGAGUAAAUGUGAGUUCUGACUCAAAUUCCUUGAUUUAGAGCGAAUUUGAGAUCACUCUGAUGCAUUUUCAUGGCAUGUUCAUUGUUCAAUAUACAUCUGAGUGGCUGUUAGGUCAAUUGAUGGGAGUGAUCAUAGUGUGAUCUUCUUGUGAUGGCCUUUUGAUGAUUUAUUCUACUUGAUUUAGGUGAUCGACAGAUCGAAUGAUUAAUCAAGUAUAAUUUAUGUUAUUUAAUGAUUUCUAUUUUUCAUUUUUUGCAGGAAUAAAACCAGAUGGCUCAUUCGGGAUCGAUACCGUCAUUGUUUUUUUGGCUUGGUCCCUUUACUUACUGAAAUUGGAAAACGGAUUCUACAAGUUUCUCGUUGUUCGAUCAAGGAAUUCUCUCCAGAAACCAAAAAGAUGGCCGAGGACACCAGACGAUGAAUGAACUGCACCACGACAACAAAAAGCAAAAAUGGUCAAACGAUCGCGCGAGGACAAGAUUCUUCCAAAACAAUAAGAGGACAUGCUACGUAAUAGUAAGUAAGUUAAUUUUAUGAUUUACCUACAUAUUGACUUACAUUUUUAAUUCAUGAAUUUAGAAUUUUAUGUGAAAAUUGGUUGAUGCCCUUUAGCUUACCUUUAGCAAUUGAUUAUACCAGAUAAUCUCCAUCAAAAGUCCCCUCCUAAUUCAGACAGAGAAAAGUAGAUAUGUAUUUAUUCGGCUGAACAUUUAAACGCUAUACACGAAGUGAUCAAUUUUUAUACAAUAAUAACGUGAUACUUAAGAGGGUAGGCAGAUUUAUUAAAAAACCUAUAAAUAUAACGAUUUGAAAGAAUUAUUAUUUUAUUGAAUCAAAAAAGAUCUUGAGGAUAUUUUAACGUGUUUUAAGACAAUUUAUAAGAUUUUUGCUAAGUAGGAAU